UACGGAGGGAGCAAGCGUUACUCGGAAUUAUUAGGCGUAAAGGGCGCGUAGGCGAUUUGAAAAGUCUUGUGUGAAAGCCCCGAGCUUAACUCGGGAAGUGCACAAGAAACUGUUGAAUUUGAGUUCCGGAGAGGAAGGCAGAAUUCCCGGUGUAGCGGUGAAAUGCGUAGAUAUCGGGAGGAAUACCAGUGGCGAAGGCGGCCUUCUGGACGGAUACUGACGCUGAGGCGCGAAAGCCAGGGGAGCAAAGCGGG
rnacentral:rRNA from 1 species